CGCAUGCACUGCUCAAACUGCACGUCAACUGCUCACACCUUUGCCCGUGGUCUUUCCAUCUACCUGGGGCCUGCAUUGCUGUCUGGUGCGCUCCUGCCUGUCUCCCAGGUGACGCCUACAUCUCCUUCAAACAGAGGCCCCCUCAGCCUCGCAGCUCAGACCCAGGGCAGGCGCUUCUCCUUGUGUUCACAGUGACACUGUUUGCGAGCCUAUGGUGUCUCACAGGGGGCACUGUCACCCAUGACAGCUGAAGAUACCACAUACUGGAGUCACAGACACGGGGAAGGCAAGCUGGUACCAACCUGGAAGCUUCAUCUCUGCCAUUAGCUUUCAGAGAUUAGUGAAUCUGUCAAUUCUCAUCAGAGAAGAUUCUUUCUGAAGUAGAUGGUAACUGAUACACGGGCUCAAAAUGUAGAAAAUAUGAGCCUGAAAAAUGUGGACCCCUGAAUGGGACAUUAUAUUAUACACUCAAGGCUCAGAGAUCAUUGUAAGAGAGGGGGAGAGGAGAUUUGAGAGCCGCAGACAGGGAAUGACUAGAAAGAAACAGUAUCGUCUGAUCACACGGCAGUCGAACAUGAAUUCAGUUCACGGCAGUUGUGAAUGAACAAGACCUGCAUAGACUCAAGCCAGACAGAAUCUUAACAGAAGGAGAGGAGGGGUGCAAAGCAAACUUCCAAUGCAGGGCGUGUUCACGUGUCCCAUGUUUUCAUUCUAAAGAACAAAGCCAAGACCACUAAAACAACGGAAAUAACUGGUCCCACGAACAUCCUAUUAACUGUAGAACACACAUGAAAUAACGCACAUGCUCAUCUUGUAUCAGCUACAGACAAUGAGCAAUAAAGUCAGUCUUUAUGGACAGUCUUCAUCCACAAUGAAGAUGGUGCACUUCUGCACCUGCAUGAAGGAGAUGAUAGUGGCCGCUAUCUUCUUCAGAAUGACUUCCAGUGACUGCUGCUCUUCAAAGAUUAAGCUGGCAAGGUCAAGUAACACCUGGACGAGAAAAGGUGGCAGGUCACGAUCACGCAGAGACUGAAGCAACACAGUGGGCUAAAGGCUGUUGCAAUGACGUUUCAUAGAGCUGAGCAUUGUGAAGAACAAUACCACAGAAUGCCAGAUCCUCAAAGUGAACGUGUUUACAGCAGACAUGGGCUGUUUAAAAGCACAGUUAGGAUUACUGAGUACAACAUUUACAUUAAAAAUCGGGCAAGUGCGGGCUGGACAGAUGGCUCAGCAGUUAAGAGUACUGGCUGCCCUUUCAGAAGACAAAGUCUUGAUCUCCAACACCCACAGAGCAGCCCACAGCGAUUUGUAACUCCGGUCUCAAGAGAUCCAAACCAGCUUCUGAACUCUGAAGUUUUCAGCAGAAGCUCCACGUGGAAUCAGAUGACACAGGAGAAAUGGAAGAGACUGCAAAUCCUGACAUCCCACCCCCUGGCCACACACCACCUCAAGAAAACCAGAACACGGCGACAUAAGUGACUCCAGGCAACAAGUGCAACUAUUUCUGAGUACAUCUGUGAAGGUGUCUCGAGAAGAAAUAGCACCUGAAUCAACAGACUCGUGAAGAAGAGUGUUGAUCCACCAAUGAGAGUGGGCAUUGUCCAAGCCACUCAGGAUCUAGGUAGACCAGAUAGCCAGGGGCAGAGGCUAUUCGCCCCCUCUCCUGGAGCUCUCACCUCUAUACAUCAGAACUCUAGGACUUAAGGCAUUUGGAUUUGAUUUUACUCAGCAGCCCCUAAGGAUUUCAAGCCUUAGUUACACUGCCCACUAAAAUAGUUCUCUGGGUUAAUGAAGGAAGAUGAUGACCUUCAAUUAUAUUGGCCAACUCCCA
rnacentral:lncRNA from 1 species